rnacentral:rRNA from 1 species
AUUGAACGCUGGCGGAAUGCUUUACACAUGCAAGUCGAACGGCAGCACGGACUUCGGUCUGGUGGCGAGUGGCGAACGGGUGAGUAAUGUAUCGGAACGUGCCCAGUCGUGGGGGAUAACGUAGUGAAAAUUACGCUAAUACCGCAUACGAUCUAUGGAUGAAAGCGGGGGAUCGCACGACCUCGCGCGAUUGGAGCGGCCGAUAUCAGAUUAGGUAGUUGGUGGGGUAAAGGCACACCAAGCCAACGGUCUGUAGCUGGUCUGAGAGGACGACCAGCCACACUGGAACUGAGCACCGGUCCAGACUCCGACGGGAGGCAGCAGUGGGGAAUUUUGGACAAUGGGCGAAAGCCUGAUCCGGCCAUUCCGCGUGCAGGAUGAAGGCCCUCGGGUUGUAAACUGCUUUUGUACAGAACGAAAAGGUUUCUACUAAUACUAGGAGCUCAUGACGGUACUGUAAGAAUAAGCACCGGCUAACUACGUGCCAGCCGCCGCGGUAA